rnacentral:rRNA from 1 species
CGCGUAGGCGGUCCGCUAAGUUCGGUGUGAAAUCCCCCGGCUCACCUGGGGAACGGCGCCGGAAACUGACGGACUGGAGUACCGGAGAGGAGGGUGGAAUUCCUGGUGUAGCGGUGAAAUGCGUAGAUAUCAGGAGGAACACCGGUGGCGAAGGCGGCCCUCUGGACGGAUACUGACGCUGAGGCGCGAAAGCGUGGGGAUCAAACA